rnacentral:rRNA from 1 species
UGGGGAAUAUUGGACAAUGGGCGCAAGCCUGAUCCAGCCAUGCCGCGUGAGUGAUGAAGGCCCUAGGGUUGUAAAGCUCUUUCAACGGUGAAGAUAAUGACGGUAACCGUAGAAGAAGCCCCGGCUAACUACGUGCCAGCAGCCGCGGUAAUACGUAGGGUGCAAGCGUUAAUCGGAAUUACUGGGCGUAAAGCGUGCGCAGGCGGUUUUGUAAGACGGAUGUGAAAUCCCCGGGCUUAACCCGGGAACUGCAUUCGUGACUGCAAGGCUAGAGUAUGGCAGAGGGGGGUAGAAUUCCACGUGUAGCAGUGUACUGCGUAGAGAUGGGGAGGAAUACCGAUGGCGCAGGCAGCCCCCUGGGCCAAUACUGACGUUCAUGCACGAAAGCGUG